UGAAUAUUGAUGAAUCUUGAUAUUGUGAUGUUUUGUGUAUGGAAACGGAAUGCGGUGCAAAUCCGCAGCGGACGCGCCACUGUAACCGGCAAGCCCGGCCGACGUCACUGCCGCAGAGGCGGGAAGACCAGGCCAUAUGGGGCCGGAAGCCAGGAGACGACCAUGCACAAGAGCACGGC
rnacentral:ncRNA from 2 species